GUGCUCGCUUUAGCAGCACAUAUACUAUAAUAGGAGUGAUACAGAGAUUCAGCACAGCCCAUGCACUUCACAAGCUUGUGAAGUGUUGUAUAUUUUU
rnacentral:snRNA from 1 species